rnacentral:lncRNA from 1 species
GGGCCGCGCGGGGGCAGGAGCCUGCGUUUCCGGGGAAGGUGGCUGGAGGCAGUGAGGAGACACCCACAGUCGCGGUUCCCCAUUAUCAAGGCAGUACCUGAGCCACAGAAAUGGAAAAACCUCUUUCUGCGGAUCGGACCUAUCCAGUGACAUGCAUUUCCACCCUCAGUUGGCUCAGACGCUGCCAAUAAUGUGGUGCUUGGGUUCCUAUAUUGAGAGUGAAACGAGAGUGAAGGGCUCCAAACUGAAUGAAUAUGUGGCCCAGAGAAUAGGUGCUGUCCGUGACUUCUACUCUGUGGAGAACGUGUGGAAAACGAUAGAAGGGAGAAUUCCCGUGACUGGUGUAUUAAAAUGGCAGCCUUCCAGACGAGUAACAAGCAUUGCCACACUCUGCCAUCUUUCUAGAUGAAUAGUAAGCAAUAAGUUUUGGACAUUUUUUAAAUUUUUCUUUAAUACGAUUAAAAACACAGUCUUU